GCCCGGAUGGCGGAAUUGGUAGACGCACUAGGUUCAGGUCCUAGCGUUCGCAAGAACAUACGAGUUCAAGUCUCGUUUCGGGUA
rnacentral:tRNA from 1 species